AAACGUUUAUUCGAGUGACUAGAUUUAUUCGUUCGAAUAAAUUUGAUUUAUUUUGAGAUUCGAAUGAAAAAUAUUCAUUGCAGAAAAUGAACCGAAAUGAACAGUAGUUUGGAGAUCAGCUGUUCUAAAUGAUUUGACAUUUUGAUUUGAUUUAGUGUGACCACACUAAUUUUUUAUUUUCGAAAAUUCUUAUUUUUAAUUCAGAGUUUGUCACAGAUUAACAGUUUCUGGAUUGAAAAAUAAAGUAAAGUUAAUAAAGUGAUAAAGAAAAACAUCCAAGACAUGAAAUUAAACAUUUUUUCAACUAACGUAACCAUUUUGGUUUGAAUUUUCAUGUUGUGUUUAUAUCGUUUAAUAUGUUAUGUAUAUUCGUCACACAUGGUCACACUUUCAAUUGAAAUGAAAACAAUCAAAGUUUAUAAACUUCAAAUCGAUGUAGAUUUUCUUAUUUUGGAGAAAGGAAACAAUAGCAAUAGUUUUGUUUCUAAAUUCUAAUGGCGAAGAACGAGAACAUGUUCUUAGAAGAAGGAUUAUAGAUGCACCAAAUUCGUUUGCGUUUGACGAUUUAAAAUUUGUAAGGAACUUUCGCCUCAAUAAACUGGCAUUUAAAUAUGUCUUGGAUGAGCUUUCCAUCGAGAUACAGGGGGGAACUUCUUUGUCCAUACCGUAGCACCGUCUUUAGAUGGAGGCCCAUGGCUAUUGAGCUUCACGGCAGCAUCUCUUCAAAACCGGUCAAAAUCUAUACGGUUUACAGAAAAACCUUUCGCUACCUGCGGAUUCUCCUCCAUCAACCUUAUCAGUAUUUCUUUUUAUUCCCUAUUUGUCCAAUUUGACUGUGUGACUGUGCCCUUUAUGAAAUAACAAAAAAAAACUCGUCAAUAUAACUAAUUUCGUUUAAUUAUCGUAUAAAAAUUGUUUAAACUUACAUCUUUCUUCAGCUAUUCACCAGAAAAUAUCUGAACGACACAAAAAUGACAUUUGAUUCGAAUCACUCGAAAGUCAAAAUUUACUUAGUUUUUUUUUUUUAAAUGAACUUUCGAUUGAAUCAGCAAACUUUCGAAUCGAUCGAAUCUCAAAAUAAAAUCUUCUCGAAUUCGAAUAACUUUCGAUCGAAAACGAAUCUCAAAAUAAGGGUGA